AUAGUGAGGAGAUGGCCCUCAGUGAGGAAGCGGGUCCCCACUAGAUACGGAAUCGCCAGGGCCAUGAUUUCCACUCUCCAGCCUCCAGAAGUCUGAGAACUGAAUUUCCAUCGUUUAUAAGGCACCCGGUUGGCCUGCAAUAUUUCUGUUAGAGCAGCCCCAGCAGACUGAGACAGGACCUACCACUUAGGUGCUGGUGUGUCUGCCCGAGGCUGUGUUGCUGCCUCCUCCCAGAGCAUCGCUGCACGAGCUCCUUGUACAAACCCCAUCAGGCAGCUCCUAUUACUGCCUCAUUGUACAAACAAGAAAGCCAGAGCUCAAAGAGGCACACAGCAACUGAGACAUCGUCCAGGGCAGAGUCCCUGGGACUCUGGAUGCCCCAGGGCGUCUGCCCUGACUGAUUCUGUUCUGGGUCUGUUUCACUGAUUUGAUGUGAAGAGCCUCAUCCAGCAGGGAUUUCAAAGACCCCCUCUGCAGGGGUGGGGCUGAAGAGUCAUAAAGGAGUGAGUUCUCUCAGCCAUCCUCUGUCUGCUUGACUGCUGGUGGGCCUCCUAGAACAAGAGGAGCAGCCAUCUGCACCCACGCCGCCCAGCCAGAAAGCUGCACAGCCCUUCUCUUGCUGCACCUGAAGUGGUUCCACGGCGGGGAAAGGGUUCCCAGCAGUGCCCCCUCCUACCUUCUGGACCGAAAUCAUUAUUCAGAGUUUGGCAUCCUUUGGAAUUUCAAUAGAAUCGACAUCUUCAUCUCUAUUUUUAGCUUUUUCUUAUCAAAAGCACUGUUCUCUCCUGCUACCAUCUUUCUUGGAGACUGCACAUGAUUAAAAUAC
ensembl:lncRNA